UGGCGGNACGGGUGAGUAACGCGUGGGUAACCUGCCUCAUACAGGGGGAUAACAGUUGGAAACGACUGCUAAUACCGCAUAAGCGCACAGUGCUGCAUGGCACAGUGUGAAAAACUCCGGUGGUAUGAGAUGGACCCGCGUCUGAUUAGGUAGUUGGUGGGGUAACGGCCCACCAAGCCGACGAUCAGUAGCCGACCUGAGAGGGUGACCGGCCACAUUGGGACUGAGACACGGCCCAAACUCCUACGGGAGGCAGCAGUGGGGAAUAUUGGACAAUGGGGGAAACCCUGAUCCAGCGACGCCGCGUGACUGAAGAAGUAUUUCGGUAUGUAAAGGUCUAUCAGCAGGGAAGAAAAUGACGGUACCUGACUAAGAAGCCCCGGCUAAUGACU
rnacentral:rRNA from 1 species